GUAAACCUCAAGCAAAUUUGACAAAUAAUUUCAUAAUUUUGAAAAAAUAUAUAUAUUAAACUUGGAAAAAAAUAUUAAAAAUUAAAAAAAAAUGAAAUUGUAAAUUUGAAACUUACAUAAAAAAGUUACCCCUAAAACUAUUUCCAAAUAAAUAAUCAUGUUUAUUUGUAACACAUUCUGUUUUGUAUUUUCAACUUUUGUUUUUCCAUUUUUCUAUUUUCUCUUUUAGUUCUCAAUUUACUGUUCGAAUUCAGACUUUUUAGCAUCGUUGUUGGCGCCGCCUGUGUCGUAACGCCUCUGAUGUGGUACAAUGAUCAACCAUAGGUCAAUAAAUGAAUGAUAAUGUUCUUCAUACAUCAUUUCAUAACAGUGUUAGACUUACAUUUUUUUGUCCUUUACAAGUAAAAAAGUAAUAUUUGAUCAAAGAAAUAUAAUCAAAUAUAAUCUUAAAUAAAAAUAAAAAAAUAACUUGACUACAUUAAAAACUUUGUUGGGCUGACGAGUAAGACGAAUGACCUAAAUACAAGCAGAAGUCUUAUCUCUGCUGCUGCAGCAUUCAGGUGUGGGAAAAAUCUAUAUUGAUAUUGGAGAAACGAAAAUCAAUAUGAUAAGUUGUGCAAACCGUUUUUGACUUUUAGACGUUUUCCUCAGUGAAAACAUUAUGUCACAAGUGUGUAUUUGCCAGACUUGUUUGGGCUGGAUGUUCCUGGAACCUAUGAUUCAUUUAUCUAGUUGAUCAGUGCAAAAUUUGGCACCAAACACAGCGUUUCAACACAUAUUUUUUCAGGCACCAGAGCUGGACGCCUUCCAGAUGAUGUGUGGAUCAUUUUUUCAGAAACACAUUUAAUCUACAUUUAAAUGCAACAGAACUGUAUGGCUCAUGUAGUAAAUAAAAGUAAUUGUUUCUGGUUAGAAAAUACUGUCAGCAUUGAAGCAAACUACAGUUCUAGUUAUCAGAAAUGUGUCUUUUAAAAAGUCUGUGGCAUAAAUCCUAAUAAAUAUAUGCAGAAUUGAAUGUUUAAAAGCAUAAAAACUGAGAAAAUGUUCUUCUACCAAAACAUCGUUGUUCCUUUCAUGAAGAAUAUCACGUUACAUUAACAUAUUUAGUACAUAACACAAAUCUACACAGCUUUAUGACUGGAAAGGAGCAGUGAGAAGGAAAAAAAUAUGUAUUUUUUGCUGCUUUAUCACAUCUCUAAGUAAAAGAGGGAAAAAAGAAAAUUCUAGAUUAGUGUUUACUAGUAACCACACAUAAGAUACUCCUCCAUUUUCUAUUUUUUUAAUGUUUUUCAGAAAUUUUUUACUUUGACAAAAAAAAAAAUAAUAAAAAAUCCUCCUGUGGUUUUCAUCUUCUAAAUGUCUGACUAUGUGAUUUAUCAGAGUUUCUCUGCAAGUUUUGCUCUUUUUUUGCCUAAUUUUUGUAAUAUAAAUACUGGUAUGUACGAAAAAUGUUCCUAUUCUUCUCAAGUUUUAUGAAGAUCCAUAAAAAAUUGUUAAAAAAAAAAAAUAAAAGGACUUUAUUCUGUGGUCCAAGUUUUGAACUAGUUUUAACAUUGAAAUCAACAUCAAAAAGCAGCAGCAGCACACUGUACCUUGAUCGGCUGACCGAUUCGCUGAUAAGGCCUUGUUCUAAAAAUCACAGGAUUUUGAUAGAUGGAACAGCUUUAUCAGUCACUUUAAUCAUGUUUUAGUUUUGUUCCUUCUUCCGUCUGCUUUCUGAUGGCCUUCAUUUCAAUACCUGCAGGAUUUUUUUUUGUUUUUUUCCUCCAGACUGAGUCUAGUUUGGCUCCCUGUUGGGUUCCCAUGCCCAGUGUUUCCUGUGCAGAUCAGUGAGCUGACCUGAACCACGCUGAUCCCUCUGAUGAACCCCAUUCUUUGCAGAUACCCACAACCACGAUGCUGGACACCCCGAUGAUCUCUCCAGUGAUCUGACACACAUUUUCAUGCACUUAAGCUACAAACUAACAGAAGCAGAAAGCCACAUUCGAUCUGCCUCACCGCUGCGCAGGCUGCUGUGAGUGGACAGCUGGAGACCUCUCUCGGGGCAGUUCCAGCGGUCCCAUGCAAACUGGUGUUUGCAUUCUUCUAUGCCACUCUGAGCUCCUGCCGCCACGCUGCUGGAGUAGAUCAGUCGGCAUGUCCAGGCAAAAAAAAUAAAAAGAUCAGGAGGGAGAGCGAGCCAGAGGCCAGAAGCCGAUGUCUGCAGGGGGAGAGAGGAGAAGGGAGGAGCCAGAGAGAAGGUGCAGCUGCAGAGAUGGAGAGACAAAUCUUUCUGCUGCUUAUUGUAAAUAAAUGAUGGGAUCUGUGCAUUUGUCUCUCUGUAUUUCUGUGACUGGAUCACAAGUCUUCAAGUGUAAAAAGCUGGAAAUUUUUAUCGUUUAUCUAUA